rnacentral:rRNA from 1 species
UGGGGAAUAUUGGGCAAUGGGGGCAACCCUGACCCAGCGACGCCGCGUGAGGGAAGAAGGCCUUCGGGUCGUAAACCGCUUUUAUACGUGAAGAAGCAGGUGACGGUAGCGUACGAAUAAGUCCCGGCUAACUACGUGCCAGCAGCCGCGGUAAUACGUAGGGGACGAGCGUUGUCCGGAAUUACUGGGCGUAAAGGGCGCGCAGGCUGCGCGUCGAGUCGGCUGUUAAAGAUCCGGGCUUAACCCGGUGGAGCGGUCGAGACCGACGAGCUGGAGUGCUGCAGAGGCAAGUGGAAUUCCCGGUGUAGCGGUGAAAUGCGUAGAUAUCGGGAAGAACACCGGUGGCGAAGGCGACUUGCUGGGCAGCAACUGACGCUGAGGCGCGAAAGCCAGGGGAGCAAACGG